rnacentral:tRNA from 1 species
UAGCUCAAUGGUAGAGUGCUUGCCUAGCAUGCAUGUGGCCCUAGGUUCAAUUCCUAG